AGUGAACGCUGGCGGUAGGCCUAACACAUGCAAGUCGAACGGCAGCACAGUAAGAGCUUGCUCUUACGGGUGGCGAGUGGCGGACGGGUGAGGAAUACAUCGGAAUCUACUUUUUCGUGGGGGAUAACGUAGGGAAACUUACGCUAAUACCGCAUACGACCUACGGGUGAAAGCAGGGGAUCUUCGGACCUUGCGCGAUUGAAUGAGCCGAUGUCGGAUUAGCUAGUUGGCGGGGUAAAGGCCCACCAAGGCGACGAUCCGUAGCUGGUCUGAGAGGAUGAUCAGCCACACUGGAACUGAGACACGGUCCAGACUCCUACGGGAGGCAGCAGUGGGGAAUAUUGGACAAUGGGCGCAAGCCUGAUGCAGCCAUACCGCGUGGGUGAAGAAGGCCUUCGGGUUGUAAAGCCCUUUUGUUGGGAAAGAAAAGAAUAAGGUUAAUACCCCGCUGUUUUGACGUUACCCAAAGAAUAAGCACCGGCUAACUUCGUG
rnacentral:rRNA from 1 species